rnacentral:rRNA from 1 species
UACGUAGGGGGCAAGCGUUGUCCGGAAUCAUUGGGCGUAAAGCGCGUGUAGGCGGUUCGGUAAGUCUGCUGUGAAAGUCCAGGGCUCAACCCUGGGAUGCCGGUGGAUACUGUCGGACUAGAGUACGGAAGAGGCGAGUGGAAUUCCUGGUGUAGCGGUGGAAUGCGCAGAUAUCAGGAGGAACACCAAUAGCGAAGGCAGCUCGCUGGGACGGUACUGACGCUGAGGCGCGAAAGCGUGGGGAGCGAACAGG